rnacentral:rRNA from 1 species
UGCAGUCGAGUGCGCGUGCCGUAGCAAUACGGCAUGGCGCACGGCGCACGGGUGCGUAACACGUGGGCAAUCUGCCCUUCGAUGGGGAAUAACUCCGGGAAACCGGAGCUAAUUCCGCAUAACAUUCCUUGGACUUCGGUUCGAGGACUCAAAGCCGUAAGGCGUCGAAGGAGGAGCCCGCGCCCGAUUAGCUAGUUGGUAGGGUAACGGCCUACCAAGGCUUUGAUCGGUAGCUGGUCUGAGAGGAUGGCCAGCCACACUGGAACUGAGACACGGUCCAGACUCCUACGGGAGGCAGCAGUGGGGAAUCUUGCGCAAUGGGCGAAAGCCUGACGCAGCGACGCCGCGUGGGGGAUGAAGCAUCUCGGUGUGUAAACCCCUUUCGACUGGGACGAAUGCCUCGCAAGAGGAGUGACGGUACCAGUAGAAGAAGCCCCGGCUAACUACGUGCCAGCAGCCGCGGUAAGACGUAGGGGGCCAGCGUUGUUCGGAAUUACUGGGUGUAAAGGGUUCGUAGGCGGUGCGGCAAGUCGGGAGUGAAAUCUAUGGGCUUAACCCAUAGGCUGCUUCCGAAACUGCUGUGCUUGAGUGUGGGAGAGGCGCGUGGAAUUGCAGGUGUAGCGGUGAAAUGCGUAGAUAUCUGCAGGAACACCCGUGGCGAAAGCGGCGCGCUGGACCACAACUGACGCUGAGGAACGAAAGCUAGGGGAGCAAACAGGAUUAGAUACCCUGGUAGUCCUAGCCCUAAACGAUCAGGACUUGGGGUGCCACCCGUUCGGGUGUCGUCCCGGAGCUAACGCGUUAAGUCCUGCACCUGGGGAGUACGGUCGCAAGACUGAAACUCAAAGGAAUUGACGGGGGCCCGCACAAGCGGUGGAACAUGUGGUUCAAUUCGACGCUAC